rnacentral:rRNA from 1 species
CUACGGGGUGCUCCAGUGAGGAAUUUUGCGCAAUGGGGGAAACCCUGACGCAGCAACGCCGCGUGAGCGAAGAAGGCCUUCGGGCCGUAAAGCUCUGUCAAGUGGGAAAAAAAUUCUUUGAUGGACAGUCAAAGGACUUGAUGGUACCACUGGAGGAAGCACCGGCUAACUCCGUGCCAGCAGCCGCGGUAAUACGGAGGGUGCAAGCGUUGUUCGGAAUUACUGGGCGUAAAGAGCGUGUAGGCGGUUUGACAAGUCAGAUGUGAAAGCCCCGGGCUCAACCCGGGAAGUGCAUUUGAACUGUUUCACUAGAGUAUGGGAGAGGAGAGUGGAAUUCCUGGUGUAGAGGUGAAAUUCGUAGAUAUCAGGAGGAACACCCGUGGCGAAGGCGAUUCUCUGGACCAAUACUGACGCUGAGACGCGAAAGCGUGGGGAGCAAACAGGAUUAGAUACCCCGGUAGUC